AGAGUGAACGCUGGCGGCAGGCUUAAUACAUGCAAGUCGAACGGCAGCACGGCAGAGCUUGCUCUGUGGGUGGCGAGUGGCGGACGGGUGAGGAAUACAUGGGAAUCUGCCCAGUCGUGGGGGAUAACGUAUGGAAACGUACGCUAAUACCGCAUGCGCCC
rnacentral:rRNA from 1 species